GUGAGUAGUUCAGAGUUUGAUCCUGGCUCAGGACGAACGCUGGCGGCAUGCCUAACACAUGCAAGUCGAACGGAGUUUCUUGAAUGGAUCCCUUCGGGGUGAAGCUUAUGAAACUUAGUGGCGGACGGGUGAGUAACGCGUGGGUAACCUGCCCUUUUGUGGGGAACAACUUCGAGAAAUCGGAGCUAAUACCGCAUAUACUUACGGGAUCGCAUGAUUCUGUAAGGAAAGAUGGCCUCUGAAUAUGCUAUCGCAAAAGGAUGGACCCGCGUCUGAUUAGCUAGUUGGUGAGGUAACGGCUCACCAAGGCGACGAUCAGUAGCCGGCCUGAGAGGGUGAACGGCCACAUUGGGACUGAGACACGGCCCAA
rnacentral:rRNA from 1 species